AGGACGAACGCUGGCGGCGUGCUUAACACAUGCAAGUCGAGCGGUAAGGCCCUUCGGGGUACACGAGCGGCGAACGGGUGAGUAACACGUGAGCAACCUGCCCCUGACUCUGGGAUAAGCGGUGGAAACGCCGUCUAAUACCGGAUACGACCUUCCGCCUCAUGGUGGAGGGUGGAAAGUUUUUUCGGUCAGGGAUGGGCUCGCGGCCUAUCAGCUUGUUGGUGGGGUAACGGCCUACCAAGGCGAUUACGGGUAGCCGGCCUGAGAGGGCGACCGGCCACACUGGGACUGAGACACGGCCCAGACUCCUGCGGGAGGCAGCAGUGGGGAAUAUUGCGCAAUGGGCGAAAGCCUGACGCAGCGACGCCGCGUGGGGGAUGACGGCCUUCGGGUUGUAAACCUCUUUUACCACCAACGCAGGCUCCGGGUUCUCUCGGGGUUGACGGUAGGUGGGGAAUAAGGACCGGCUAACUACGUGCCAGCAGCCGCGGUAAUACGUAGGGUCCGAGCGUUGUCCGGAAUUAUUGGGCGUAAAGAGCUCGUAGGCGGCGUGUCGCGUCUGCUGUGAAAGACCGGGGCUUAACUCCGGUUCUGCAGUGGAUACGGGCAUGCUAGAGGUAGGUAGGGGAGACUGGAAUUCCCUGGUGUAGCGGUGAAAUGCGCAGAUAUCAGGAGGAACACCCGGUGGCGAAGGCGGGUCUCUGGGCCUUACCCUGACGCUGAGGAGCGAAAGCAUGGGGAGCGAACAGGAUUAGAUACCCUGGUAGUCCAUGCCGUAAACGUUGGGCGCUAGGUGUGGGGACUUUCCACGGUUUCCGCGCCGUAGCUAACGCAUUAAGCGCCCCGCCUGGGGAGUACGGCCGCAAGGCUAAAACUCAAAGGAAAUUGACGGGGGCCCGCACAAGCGGCGGANCAUGUUGCUUAAUUCGACGCAACGCGAAGAACCUUACCANGUUUGACAUCACCCGUGGACCUGUAAAGAUAC
rnacentral:rRNA from 1 species